rnacentral:rRNA from 1 species
AACGAACGCUGGCGGCGUGCCUAACACAUGCAAGUCGAGCGCGAAAGGAGCAAUCCGAGUAGAGCGGCGCACGGGUGCGUAACACGUGGAUAAUCUGCCUCAGGGUUGAGGAUAACCUUCCGAAAGGUUGGCUAAUACUCGGUAAGCUUACGGUGACUUCGGUCGCUGUGAGAAAACUAGACCUCUAUUUAUAAGUUUAGGCCCAGAGAUGAGUCCGCGGCCCAUCAGCUAGUUGGCGGGGUAACGGCCCACCAAGGCUACGACGGGUAGCUGGUCUGAGAGGACCAUCAGCCACACUUGGACUGAGACACCGGCCCGACUCCUACCGGAGGGAGCCGUGGGGAAUUUUCCACAAUUGGCGGAAGCCUGAUGGAGCAACUCCGCGUGUAUGAUGAAGGUCUUCGGAUCGUAAAGCACCUUCGACUGGGACGAAAAACCUUUGGCUAACAUCCAGGGGCCUGACGGUACCAGGAGAAGAAGCACCGGCUAACUCUGUGCCAGCAGCCGCGGUAACAC